AACACACAGAGUCAUGCAAGCGAAGCGACACACACUACGGUAAUGAUGCAAUACCCGUAGAGAGCAAGGUUCUGGAGCAGGACAUGAAUGAGUUAUAAAGUGUUUCUGUGUAUAUCAUACAGUUUCUGCAAAUACAGACUGAGAACUGGCUACAGUUGUCUGUGUCCCCUGCUUGUCUUGAACAUGUUUCUGAUUUGGUACGAUAUAAUUUGAGGGCAUCAUUUGACCCUCAUUGUAUUGAUCAUGAGAUUAACUGACUUAUUCAAUUCCCAUAUUGGUAACAUGUCUGCAACUGCAACAGCAUAUUAUUUUCUGAGAAACUUAAGUAAAAUAUGACAUAUUCAUACUUUCAUAACCUCUAUAUUAGAUUAUUGUAAUGUGAUCAAGCCUGGCUUCUUUAAGGAAGCCUCCAUGGCCUUUCCAGAAUGCAGUAUCCUUACCAGGAAAAGAAAAUCAAGCACAUUACCUCAGUCUUAUUCAAAGUACACAGAGUGGCUAUUAAUCCACAUUGACUAUGAAGUCUUGCUUAUGAUGUUUAAAGUGCCAGUAUUUAGAACAGGCAUAUCUUGCUGAUCUUCUGAAACAAGAUAGCUAGUCCUGAGCACUUCACUCAGCUUUGGCAGUCCUACUUUUAAUCCUGGGGAUCAGGUGAUGUUCAGCUGGUGGAAGAUGUUUUUUUCCUACAUUGCCUUGUAACGUAUGGAAUAAUGUUCCAGAGAACAUUAAAGCUCAGUGGGUGUUUUUAAAUUCAGAUAACUGGCAGGUAUAGAGAGAAAAAGAGCAAUUUAGUAUGAACUGUAUCCAUAUACAUGUAGAGCAAUGAAAUUAAUAAUACAGUAAUAAAUGGCCCCAAAUGGUUGGAAACACAAAAAAACGCAAGUUAAACAUGUCUUCAUGUCUUUCUGUCUCUCUCUCUCUCUCUCUCUCUCUGUCUUUCUCUCUGCCUUUCUAAAACCUGACCUACAUUCUGUGAUAAUCGGUAUGUACUGUCACUGCUCAGUGACCAUUCAGCCGAUUAGCAGACAACACAACCAUGCAGAAAUGGCUUUAAAUCCACAUACCCCUCACUAUGUUUAGUUUUCCCAAACAUCCUAACCACUACAGAGCAGGAAUGACAAUUCAAGACAAGUAAUUUCAAUCAUUCAAAUUCCUGCUAGAUCAUUACACAACAAAAUUAAACAAUGCAUUCUGGAAUAUAAACAGAAAAAUAGAACAGCAAAUAUUUAGCUGGCAUGCAACCCGAACUACGAAUGCCCGACUUAGGAAUUUUCGGCAAUACGAACACGGCCACCCAAAAAACGUUAGAAAAAUAUAAAAAAACAAAGAAAAUAUAUUCAAGAAAACUUUCCAAAUCCGCGCACGCUAUUCAGAUUUGACAACGCUGUAAACAGAGGGAGAAGAAGAAGAACACCUGGCAGGCAUGGAUUAUGGGACCGCGACACUGUGGUGCUACAGCUUCGGGUCAGUGGAAAGAACACAUGAAGACUUGAGUGCUCAAAUGUCUGACCUUAUCACAGCGUUGGUCAGCAUGUGAACUUACACAGGCCAAAGGAACGACAUCAGCCGCAUGAACCCUUGCCUCAGGCUGUAAUUUGAGCCUCGCACUUACUAUAUGAACCUCUGACCUUGCAGUUGCAAACUUCCUGACAAUGUGCCACUGUUUCAAUUUGUUUUAGAUCGAAACACUUGCUCCUGAUAAAGACUGAACUGUGCCUUAAAUUGUCAACAGUGGCUUGGGGGAAAUGCACACAACGUGAGCACACAGAUAUGUCCAGUGACAUGUAAAGCCACUAACAUACAGUUUCUGGUCUUCAGCUGUUUACUAUAUAGAUGCCUAUCAGACACAGAGCUCUGAUACUUCACAGAAAAAUGCAAAGGCAAAGCAGAGGAAUGACUCAGGUCUGGGUUUUGGUCGCCUGCGGUGUGCAACAGCCCCUUGCAGAGUGUAUACGACUCAGAAGCAGCAGGAGAAAGGCGUGAGGAUUUGUCGGGCUGUUCUUUUGGCAGGAGAGGAGUAGAGGAGUAUAUUUAUCCCUCCACACCGCAGGCACGGAGCAGCAGGGAAUGACACGUUCCAGAACACAGCCACACUGGGUCUCUUCUGGACCCUGGCGCACACACACACACACACACACACACACACACACACACACACACACAUUCACACACACACAGACACACACAACACACACAAACACACCUACGUAUAUGCAGUCAUCACACUCAUACACUCAUGGGCACAUGGCACACUUACAGACAAUGCAAACAUAGACAUAUGGCUUAUGAAACCCAAGCUGGUAUGAAAAGCAAAAGGCUGAAGUUCGGACCAUAUUUGGUAUUUUCCUCUCUGAUUUCACAUGGUCAUUGAACCUUUAUCUGAAAACCCUUAAUUCAUGCUAUUUAAAUGAAUCACAUAAAGAACAAGGGACAGUAAAGGUUAAAAACAACUGAAUGAAUGAGAGUCACACAUUCUGCUGAAAUUGUUUAUUUUAGCCAUUCCCUGACCAAAAUUAACCAUAAAUAACUUUUACUUCUAGGUCUUAUGAAAAUGUUUCGCCCACCCCACUGUAGUUAUGAAUUCUGCCGAUCCAUAAGCCAAACACGUGAUUCAGAGUCAAAGGCAGUCUCAACAUUUGCAUAUUGCUUUACAAGUGAUGUGAGUACCUUGAGCCACUGUCCUCAUUUUGGAACAAUAUAGAGAGCCCACUAUUGUUCUGAGAUCAACAGCAAAACAGAAUGACCAACUACAUUACUGACCACAAAACAAUAAUCUAAUAAACAAUACAUCAAUCUAAUCUAAUUAUAACAUCUCAUAGAUGCAGAGUUGCAUUUGUGAGCUGUAAGUAAAGUGAGACAUAUGUAAAAUAAAAUUAAAAAGUUUUUAAAAUCUAUAAUUUGUGAUACUUUUGACUCAGGUAUUAUCAGGGAAAGAUUUGCAGCAAAAAAAUCAUCAAAUAUGAUUAAACAAUGCAUUAUGCAAUGUAAGGUUGAGUUUGUUUGGUAUUAGUGAUAAAUUGUGAUACAAGCACUUCUUGUAAUAAAUUAUGCUAAUUUUCACAUGUACUUUUAGCAGUGUUUAUAAUGGCUUACGAGUGCAUGGUAACUAUAAACAAUGUGUUCACAAUUUAUUAUAGAUAUGGAUUUCAUAUAAGUGUUUUCCAAAAUCUCAACAGCACACUUUACAUUGCAUUUACAAUUUUUAAUUAUGGUAAAGAAAAUGCAUGUGAGAACACAAUAUAACAAACCAUAAAGCUUCAAUGGUUCUAUAGCAGUCUCUUCUUUUUUUCCCCAUUGUUCUACUGGGAAACUAAAUACCAGAAUCUCUAUUGUUAUUGUAAUUAAACAGACAAAGACAUUUCCCCUUUUUUCCAUAGGGCAAACUGACACCUCUUAAUCCAAAGCUUCCACUCAGCUCCCACAUUAAAGGAGUAAGAGUGGAAUUGGACACACAAACCUUGGUCCAUUGUGUUAUGUAUGAGCAUUAAUGCUUGGACUGUAUUCUUCUUAUGGAGUUCACAGGCCAGUAUAAUAUAACAAAGAAUAAACACAUGCACAGAAACACAAACACACACACACACACACACACACACACACACACACACACACACACACACACACACACACCGUGAUAAGUAUAAUAUAGUACCUGACCCACCAGACUAUACAAAUGCUUUGUUCUCACCUGUCACUAUAUAAUUUUCCACUAGUAGUUUCUGAUUUAUCCACUAAGGACUUAUUGGAUAAUAAAUAAAAUACACAAAAAAAUACAGAAAUUAUGAAUGACAAUACUUUGGGACAUGCUGUUAUAAAAAAAUCAGUUAUGUGACAGUAUGAAGUAGAUAUUUUGUCAUGCUAAUAAUUCAAUUCAAUUUAUACAGCGGUUUUAAAAAUGGAUUUAGUCACAGCUUUAUGUAAAAGACUAGAUUGAGAAUAUACAUUUUUAAAUUAAAAUGUUUUUCUUCAUACGUUUUCCUAUAUGUUUGUUAAAAAACCAGUGUUUUAUUUCUUUACUUUUUUGUUUUUUUCUGUUUAAUAUGACAGAUUUUUACACAAAAAAAUGUAUUUAUCAAAAAAUGACCAUAUUUUUUAUAUACAUUUAUAGUUAUGUUUAAUGCUUUGGGAUGUCAACAAACAGAUUAGAUUCCAUUCCAAUUUUCUCAGAAAGCAUUUUUUUAUAAUGUGUUAGCUGUUAAUAAAUAUAUGAUAGUUGUGUCUGUACAUUUGGAACCUAGCUUGGUUCUAUCAAACCACCACUGCAUGAGGCAUUAAGAUCUGAUUCUAAUGCCCCACUACUGGCAUUGAAACUGAUAUUGUUAGACUGUAAACACAAGUCUUACUGAAUAGAUGAGCCUGUUGCUUGUCUUUAUGUAAAUCUGUAAAUUUAACAUAAUAAAAGAGAGAUUUGUUUAAAAGGCCCAUUCUCUGUCACAGUACUGUGCAAAAGCCACAGACACUAAAGAACUUAUGCAAAGUGCGGAUGCAUGUAAAAAAUAAUGAAAUGAAUUUGUUUUUUAAAAUGUAUUUGAUUUUGAAUUCAAAUAUGUGCGAGCCACACGACGCCAGCCAUUUACACCAUUUUACGAAACAUUGCUCAUGUUGGAUUUCAGAGUUGUCUAAAAUACUCAAAAGAAAGCACUAUUUGCAUUGUUGUACACACAUAAGCUCACAGGUGUGAAUAAUUAGCUAGUGCUGCUGUGACUGACAGGGGGAAAAGAGAAUUGUUUUUUUUUUUAAUGACAUGAGGGUGCUAAAGACUUUUACACAGCCCUUUAUGUUUCUAGAUGUGACAAAAAACCUCUAUGGUUUUACCUUUAAAUGUGCUUAAAGAAAUGAUUCCUUUUUUGAGCAUUUUUGUUGUUUAAGCAGAAUUACAGAAAUUCCAGCAUUUAUUUACUGUCACACUAACUGCAAACUAACCUUUCUUUCACAUUCUGCUGAAGCCUUGAGAGAAGAACUACCAAGCCACUAUCAAACAGUCCAAUUCUAGUAGAGGACUUUAGUUAAAUUGUCCUGGCAGGGGCUACAUAGGCUUUUUUCCUCAAUAGACAGUAUCAGAUAAGUGUGUGGGACAAUGCGGUUGCUUCACUUCAAAUCAGGCUGUGUCCAAUCAUUGUAAAGAGAGCUGAAGACACAAAAUAAAUAUUUCUUUAAAAUAAAGCAUGUAUAGUAUUUUAGUAUAAAUAGUGGUCACCAUAGUAUGGUUGAAUUGCUGAAAGCUUAAUGGUGUAAACUGAUUUUCUAUGAAACUAUGUAUAAAUGCAAGGUUAAUUUUAAUGUUAUUAAACAUAGACCUACUUUGUUGUCAUUGAUACAGUGACGUGUUUUGGAAGAAGAUUUUCAAUGUCAGUGCUUUGUAACAGUCAGUAUGUUUGCUGACAUGGCAAAGUCUUCAGGAGAGAGGAGACUGCUUGGUUGUUUUUUGUUUUGUCUCACAAGCUUCAAGAGACAGAAAAAAGCAGAGGCUCAGGACGGAACGAUCGUUUAUAGUUCCUAUAAUGUAAGUCAUAACAAAAACUAAAAUGUUUAUUCUAUCACAGAAGAUUUAUUGCCUUGA